rnacentral:misc_RNA from 1 species
AAGUCGUAACAAGGUUUCCGUAGGUGAACCUGCGGAAGGAUCAUUAACACGUAUCCAAACGUAAAAAACCCCCCCCGUGAACAUUCAAUCCUGCUCUUGUAACCCGCGUAGUUCGCAAUCUCUGGUAAAUCAUAGCCCGGAAAGUAGUUUUGAUUCAGAAGGGUCCCCAUGCCCCCUUAUAACCCCACAGUUUAAUGUGAAGCUCAAUGUAAUACAUUGGGUAAAAAAACCGAACAACUGUUAACAAUGGAUAUCUUGGUUCUC